ensembl:lncRNA
CUCAUGACCUAUGCCCCUGCCACGUCAGACUUCUUACGGCUCCCUCUGCAUUCCGUGCUGAGUCUUAUCUCCGGGGUUCUGUAUGUAGCAUUUCUCCUCCCUUCGUCUUUUUGUCCACCAGGCCCUGGGGACCCCAGGAGCUCCCAGUGAUCCGGCAAUUAAAGGGUUACUGCCUGUUCCAGCAGGAGGCCUCCCGGGACCCUGUCCCAGCGCUUUGGCUCUAUCCAUUUGCGUUCAGCAGCUUCUAUGAAGGCAAGGAUACAGUCUUUCCCAACGGAGAAUCCCCAGCAUCCAGCACAGAAUCGAAAAUGAAACAGUGUCUGGGAUCCGAGAGAGAACUAGUGAAGGACCCAGAGGACACUCGAGUCUGGAUACCUGACUGUGUCUGAAGGACAUCAAAACACCCGUGGAGCAUGGGGAAAACGGGCCGCCGGUCAGUUUUGUUCAUGUGGAAGGAGCCCAUUGUUCCCUCCUCGGUUAUCAUAAGUCCAAGAGAAAACACGAAUAUUUCAAGAGAAACUCCUAUAAUCUUGAUGUUCACGGAGUGCCACAGACUCCUUUGUCCAUGAGUAGUGAAAAUGUGAAGGAAGAGAACCUACUUUUGAAUCAAAGAGACUGGGGCCCUGCCAGUGACCAGCGUGUGACUCUCAGAAACCACCUAACCUCUCUGGGCCUUAGUUUGCCUCAUUUGUAGACUGGGCACAAUGUUACCACCCUUCAGGUUUGUGCCAAGGAUUAGAGUUUAUGGGUGCAAAGCCCUUGUCACAGUGCCCGGCAGGUCGUGGCUGCUCAGGAAACAAUAGCCGUAAUCGUUAUUAGCAUCGUUGUGUCCGUGAUUCAGAGGACACCAGCUUUUUCCAUCAAAGUUUUCACUUUGAAACUGAUAAAAUGUCAGAGCUACCAAAGAGGAGUUUGUAAAAUGCAUGUCAGAAUUUCUAAGACCACAAAUAUACAAUUCCAAGCUGAACAAUAAUUUUCUGCCUAUCAUUUUGGGGCCAGUAUAUGUUGAUUUUAGAUGGGAAUUCUUUGAUUUUUUUUUUUAGCAUCAUUGGGUAUGGAAAUCCUGUACUAGUACCAGACAUCAAAACAAUUUACAUAGCUGUAUUUGUGAGAUAAUGUAAAUUCCAUAGAAAAUCGUGUUUGAAUGAUUAUAAAUGUUAUUCCAGUAUCAGCCCAAGAUUUUUAAAUAAUUAAUUUAGCUAUUAAAUUUAACAUUAUUUAAAUAUAAUCAAAAUGAUCUAAAUGUAUCUUUUGAAUAUUUUGAACUUUGCAAGUUGAUUUCAUUGUAUACGUUGACAGCUGAGGUAGCCUGUCUCAUAAAGCUAUAUUAAAUCUUGAAAAAAAUGAAACAACUUAGAAAAAUCUUUCCAAAUUCUGUGAAAUGACUUUCUAUUUAUUGUUCACAUGUAGCUCAGAAUAUUUUAAUGUAUGCAUGUACGCUAAAAUAAUCAAAAUUAUAUAUUCUAAAACCACGCCUUGAGUUUCUAUAACACAAGUGACACACGCUCUGGAAUGGGGUUUGAGGAGCACAUUUAGUAAGCUGAUUAAUGACUCUCCGUAAUACAGGAUUUAAAGUCUUCUUCCAAAGCAUAUUUAUCUGUUUUAUUUCUCAUGAAACUUUGAAUUUUAUUUGAGUACC